rnacentral:lncRNA from 1 species
GGUGAGAGUAGCUUUCAUUACUUUGCCAUGAAAAAUACUAAAAAGAUAAAAGUAUGUCGUGAAGCAUUCUCCAUAUUAUACGCUGUGAAAAAUAAACAUAUAUUCCGAUUGACUCGUCUUAUCACCGAAGAUUUCCAUAAAACUCAUCCCUAUGUUAUUUCCGGAAGCGUAGAUCAGACCGUAAAGGUUUGGGAAUGCCGUUAAUUGCAUUGAUGGAUUACUUUUACCUAUAACCAAGCGACAUCAUUUGAAUUUCAGAAGUAAAAUUAUAUAAAAUAGAUUAUCAUACAUAUGUAAUUCAAUACGAUAUAAUAUAUUUAUUUAGUAAUGAUUAUAGUAUAACGAAAAUCUUAUUAAAAUAUUAUUUAUUUUAAAGCAAGAACUAGAGCAACUGAUGAAAAAUUUAAAGAGCAAGUAUAUUAAUGUAAUAUUAUAAUAAAAGUAAAUAACAAAGCUUACAGUCGGUAAAUAUAAAUAGAUACUUAUAUAUAAACAGUUCUAUUCAAUAUAUGCUUUUACGUCUUUUUUAAUUAUACAUACUUUAGUUUUCAGCUAAAUAAAACAUGGUUGGAUUAAUAUUUGGAGAUAUAUUGCUAAUACUGUCGUUGAUUGUUCAAAUAUAUAAUAAAACAUAAGAUCGAUAUAUUAA